rnacentral:siRNA from 1 species
UCAAGAUGCAAUCAGAGUUCA